rnacentral:rRNA from 1 species
CCUACGGGAGGCAGCAGUGGGGAAUAUUGGGCAAUGGGCGCAAGCCUGACCCAGCAACGCCGCGUGAAGGAAGAAGGCUUUCGGGUUGUAAACUUCUUUUGUCAGGGACGAAGCCAGUGACGGUACCUGACGAAUAAGCCACGGCUAACUACGUGCCAGCAGCCGCGGUAAUACGUAGGUGGCAAGCGUUAUCCGGAUUUACUGGGUGUAAAGGGCGUGUAGGCGGGGAAGCAAGUCAGAUGUGAAAACCACGGGCUCAACCUGUGGCCUGCAUUUGAAACUGUUUUUCUUGAGUACUGGAGAGGCAGACGGAAUGCCUAGUGGAGCGGUGAAAUGCGUAGAUAUUAGGAGGAACACCAGUGGCGAAGGCGGUCUGCUGGACAGCAACUGACGCUGAGGCGCGAAAGCGUGGGGAGCAAACAGGAUUAGAUACCCCGGUAGUC